ACUAAUUAGGAAUCAUCAUUCAACUGCAGCAGAGCGCCGAUUAAAAUCUAAAGCUAGACAGUUCUCAUCUGAUUUGGACGAAUCGUCUCCUAUAGAUAGCAUAGAAAACAUUGAGGAAUUUGAAGAUGACGACGACAGAUCAAUCACGGAAGACGAGAUAUAUGACAUCACAGUUGGUGACGUAUCACGUGACGUUUUACUUACAUUAAGAGAUCAUGCACAAUCGUAAAACAGCUGGUUGCAAGUGAGAAGGCAAAACUAUCAGAACAGAUUGAUGCAUUCAACAACCUUGUUGAUGGGGACUCUGCAGGAGAUAGCCUUGCUGGAUAUAUGAAACCUGCAGAACACCUAAAAACUUUACCAAAGAGCGUUGAAAAUAAAACUGGAGGCUACGGAAUGCCCGUUGUACCCAGAAGGAUUUUAAUUCAUUAUAAAAUCAGUUAAAAUACUUAAGACAAACCGACUUAUACUAUCAUUUUGUAUACGUUAAACAUAAACAAACGUAACAGGUAACAAAUUUUUGCCGAAAGAUUAUGAAAAAAUGUUUAAUUUUAACGUAAUAUUUGCUCUCAAUAUUCUGCUUAUCUCAGGGAAACAAUUCCAAUUCUUAUAUUUUGUGCAUCUUGUCACUUAAAAAACAUUUUAAUUUAUAUGUUUGGAAUAUUUUUGUAUUGGAUUUGAAAAUAAAAAAAUGCUGAUAUUGAAAACAAAAAUAGUUAGACGAGCAAUUUAAACACAAAUGUGCAGAAUUUGCAUAUUUAACGUUAAAUGAGCAGUACUUGUUUUUCAAAUUAAUGAAAAAAAUCCUAUUGCAUGCUAACGCUUUAAUCACAUCAUCUUAUCCACGAAUACAAAAAAACGGCGUUUCUCUCAUCAUUUUAUCGUGUAGCUUCAAUAUUACUCUUCGAGCUUUUGUCACUUCUAUUUUUAUUGCAAUUGAAAUAAUGUAGUAUUAAUCAAAAGAUAUUUCAUACCAGAAAAUUAUGUUCGUAUAAUCGAAAGCUAUAAAAAUAUGACGUGUAUAAAUUGCUGUAUUUUCAUUCCUUGCUUCAUUGAUAAGAUACAUAUGGUAACAUAAUCAAAUGUAUUUUACUGGGGCAGGUGGUGAUCUUUAAUAAAAAUGAUAAGGUAAUUUUCAUAGAAAACAUCGUUUCUUAUUUUUCUUGAAGGGACGUGUUUUAAUAGACUA